rnacentral:rRNA from 1 species
AACGCUGGACGGGCGUGCCUAACACAUGCAAGUCGAACGGAGUUACGAGAGCUUGCUUUGUAACUUAGUGGCGGACGGGUGAGUAAUGCGUGAGCGAACCUGCCUUUCAAGAGGGGGACAACAGUUGGAAACGACUGCUAAUACCGCAUAAUGUAGCGAGGGGGCAUCCCCCUGACUACCAAAAGGAGCAAUCCGCUGAAAGAUGGGCUCACGUCUGAUUAGGCUAGUUGGUGGGGUAACGGCUCACCCAAGGCUGCGAUCAGUAGCCGGACUGAGAGGUUGAACGGCCACAUUGGGACUGAGAUACGGCCCAGACUCCGUACGGGAGGCAGCAGUGGGGGAAUAUUGGGCAAUGGGCGAAAGCCCCUGACCCAGCAACGCCGCGUGAAGGAAGAAGGUCUUCGGAUUGUAAACUUCUUUUAUGGAGGGAACGAAGGACGUGACGGUACCUCAUGAAUAAGCCACGGCUAACUACGUGCCAGCAGCCGC